UACGUAGGGUGCAAGCGUUGUCCGGAAUUAUUGGGCGUAAAGAGCUCGUAGGCGGUCUGUCACGUCGGCUGUGAAAACCCGGGGCUCAACCCCGGGCCUGCAGUCGAUACGGGCAGGCUAGAGUUCGGUAGGGGAGAUCGGAAUUCCUGGUGUAGCGGUGAAAUGCGCAGAUAUCAGGAGGAACACCGGUGGCGAAGGCGGAUCUCUGGGCCGAUACUGACGCUGAGGAGCGAAAGCGUGGGGAGCGAACAGG
rnacentral:rRNA from 1 species